GGCACGCACGCACGCACGCCAGGGCGCGCACUCUCCCAGGCUUCCUGAAGGCUCGUACCGCCGCAGCACAUACGUGGCGUCUUGUCAGCUCCUUACUCGGCUGUGAAAAUUUUCCAUUACACAUCUUAGUCAUCGAGUUUGUUCUCACUGUUUAAGAAACGAAUUAAGACGCGGAAGCGGGAAGAGAUGUUCCUUUAUCAAAUGGCUCUGCAAACGGAAGAAAUAACAGCUCAAGUACACAAGUGGUGUUCGUCCAGAUACUCAGGCUAAGCUGAGAAAACGUGUGGGUGUGAUGAAAGUGAACCUGAUGGGUAUUCAUAAGGAAGAAAUUAACUUUGAAAGAUCGUCUAUUAUGUGUCAAGGCCAAAUCUCACUUAUAGCAUUUGUAGUAUAUUUAUAAUACAUUAUAUCAUAUCAUAGAA